rnacentral:rRNA from 1 species
UACGUAGGGUGCAAGCGUUAAUCGGAAUUACUGGGCGUAAAGCGUGCGUAGGUGGUCUUUUAAGUUGGAUGUGAAAUCCCCGGGCUUAACCUGGGAACUGCAUUCAAGACUGGGAGACUUGAGUCUGGGAGAGGGUGGUGGAAUUUCAGGUGUAGCGGUGAAAUGCGUAGAUAUCUGAAGGAACAUCAGUGGCGAAGGCGACCGCCUGGCCUAAGACUGACACUGAGGCACGAAAGCGUGGGGAGCAAACAGG